rnacentral:rRNA from 1 species
AGGAUGAUCAGCCACACUGGAACUGAGAUACGGUCCAGACUCCUACGGGAGGCAGCAGUGGGGAAUAUUGGACAAUGGGCGAAAGCCUGAUCCAGCCAUGCCGCAUGAGUGAAGAAGGCCUUUGGGUUGUAAAGCUCUUUUAGUGAGGAAGAUAAUGACGGUACUCACAGAAGAAGUCCUGGCUAACUCCGUGCCAGCAGCCGCGGUAAUACGGAGAGGGCUAGCGUUAUUCGGAAUUAUUGGGCGUAAAGGGCGCGUAGGCUGAUUAAUAAGUUAAAAGUGAAAUCCCGAGGCUUAACCUUGGAAUUGCUUUUAAAACUAUUAAUCUAGAGAUUGAAAGAGGAUAGAGGAAUUCCUGAUGUAGAGGUAAAAUUCGUAAAUAUUAGGAGGAACACCAGUGGCGAAGGCGUCUAUCUGGUUCAAAUCUGACGCUGAAGCGCGAAGGCGUGGGGAGCAAACAGGAUUAGAUACCCUGGUACUCCACGCUGUAAACGAUGAAUGUUAAAUAUGGGAAGUUUACUU